AUUGAACGCUGGCGGCAGGCCUAACACAUGCAAGUCGAGCGGCAGCGGAAAGUAGCUUGCUACUUUGCCGGCGAGCGGCGGACGGGUGAGUAAUGUCUGGGAAACUGCCUGAUGGAGGGGGAUAACUACUGGAAACGGUAGCUAAUACCGCAUGACCUCGAAAGAGCAAAGUGGGGGAUCUUCGGACCUCACGCCAUCGGAUGUGCCCAGAUGGGAUUAGCUAGUAGGUGAGGUAAUGGCUCACCUAGGCGACGAUCCCUAGCUGGUCUGAGAGGAUGACCAGCCACACUGGAACUGAGACACGGUCCAGACUCCUACGGGAGGCAGCAGUGGGGAAUAUUGCACAAUGGGCGCAAGCCUGAUGCAGCCAUGCCGCGUGUGUGAAGAAGGCCUUAGGGUUGUAAAGCACUUUCAGCGAGGAGGAAGGCAUCACACUUAAUACGUGUGGUGAUUGACGUUACUCGCAGAAGAAGCACCGGCUAACUCCGUGCCAGCAGCCGCGGUAAUACGGAGGGUGCAAGCGUUAAUCGGAAUUACUGGGCGUAAAGCGCACGCAGGCGGUUUGUUAAGUCAGAUGUGAAAUCCCCGCGCUUAACGUGGGAACUGCAUUUGAAACUGGCAAGCUAGAGUCUUGUAGAGGGGGGUAGAAUUCCAGGUGUAGCGGUGAAAUGCGUAGAGAUCUGGAGGAAUACCGGUGGCGAAGGCGGCCCCCUGGACAAAGACUGACGCUCAGGUGCGAAAGCGUGGGGAGCAAACAGG
rnacentral:rRNA from 1 species